UCUAAUAAAAGUGGCAACUGUUGCUUGGCAAAUCGUAAAAAGAUGGGAGAUGUCCAACAUUUUCCUUCGCUUUGCUUUGCUUCGCCACGAUGUGACUCAUACAAUUUUGGUCGUGUGAACUUGAACAACGAGUAAUAAGUGCUAAGUUGUUGGAAUUAGAAAUAAAGAUAAGUGUAUAGCCAUUAAAUUGGAACUUUUGAUUAACAAUCUAUUUUAAAUCUAGAUUUAUCGAGAAAUCCGUUACAAUUGGUGUCAGAAGUGGAAUUGUCAAAUAAAUUCCCAAGGAUAUAAUUAUAUGAAAAUGACCAAGUAAUGUACAAGGCACAUAGCAGUGCAAAUGUCGCAGAUGUCAACGCAGACGUUAACACAAAUAUCGACACAGUUUAAAGAGCAGUUAGAAUCGCAGUUAGAAACGUUGGAAGAGCAAUCCGCAGCGCAAGAUGCACGUAUAUUAGCCCAGGUGUCCUCACAGUUGAACGCAAAGAUAAAGUAGCUACAUUGUUCGUUGCGUUUAAAGGUCCUGCAGCGAAGAUAUUACAAACCAUUUCAAACUGCGAGUCUAGUAGUUAUAAAACGUUAAUGGAUGCAUUAGACGGUAUGGAACGCACAAAGAGCCAAUAAGUCUCUGCAGGAGUUUUCUACAGAAAUUAAUAGGAAACCGAAUCUCUGCUUAGCAAUCGAACAUUCAAAGCUGGUGAACCAAUUACUUGAAAAAAUUGAAGAAAAUAUGCAGAGACUAGAAAAAUCUACAGAAAUGCGUAAGAAAAAUUAUGGUGUGGUUAAAUGCUUCAACUGCGGAAAAAGUGGCUAUAUUGCACGCAAGUGUAACCAGUCCAAUUCAGUUGGACGUAAACGCAAAGCUGAGGAAGAUCAAGCAAAUGUCAAAUCCAACCAAUCGUUCAACUAAAGCGAGCCAGACGAAAAGGGCACGGGCUGGCUCCCGCAGGCAAAUGCCCUGUAAUCUCCAUUUCACAAAUAAGCAGGAACACGAGUAACGGUAUCGUUAGUGUAUGUGUUGACGGCAAAAAGCGUAUACUGACUGUGGAUACGAGCGCGUCACAUUCCAUGAUUCGAUGUGAUCUGGUUAAUAAAGAAGUAAGCCCAUUAGUACUGCAACCGGAGAAGAUAUCAAGUUCUCGGAGAAGUAACGUGCGAAAUCGUAAUUGAAAAGGCAGCCAUGUUACAUAAUUUAAUAGUGACAGAUAUUAUCGACGAGGUCAUAAUUGAGUAGACUUUCUAGCAAAACAAGAAAUCAUAAUUGAUAUGGAGAUGAAGAUUAUGGCCUAUACAAAUAUGGAAGUGCCAUUUAUGUUCGGUUACGAUAAUAAGUACAACGUUAGACGAGUUAUAACAACAGAGAGCCAGCAGAUUCCACCAAAAUCAGAAGCAGUUAUUUAGGCAGAUAUAGAUGGAGACUAUGGGCCAAUAAAGUUGUGGAUUGUUAAGGCCACAAAAGAAUAUACACCAAACUUACUUUUAGGCAAAACCCUAGCUAUGAAAAAACAAGAUGAACGUGUUCCAGUAAGAGUACUCAUUAAGUGCAAGUGACCAUUUAAACUGUCCAAAGCCAUACUAGGGCAGUGUCAAGAGAUUGAGGCCGUGAUAAAUUGCAAAAUAGGUCUUGAGGAAGAUUUCAUAGACGAAAACAACAUAUUGAGCGAAAUUAACAGGUAAUUUUUGGUAAUGAUCUUCGACUACCGAUUAAUUUGAGAUUUAGAAUUAACGCAAACGAAGGCAGGAAUGCUAAGGAAGUCAACAGCAUCCUAGAAGACGGGAUAAGGGAUAUACAAGCCAUGGUAAGACAGCGCACCAAAAUUAUGAGCGACAAAAUGAAAGCAAAAUACGACAAGGCAAUGAACUCUGACACAAUAAGUCGAAAGAAAGGGCUGUCUCCUCAAAUAAGAGUGUAAUUGGGAAGGACCAUAACAGGUUAUUAAACGAGUCAACGAUGUAGUGUAACCAUGGGAAAACCAAGGAAUAAAAUGAAGGUAGUUCAUCUGGAACGGCUUGCAGCGUUUGAUACCGCAAAUAUGUCUAAUCAA